UACGGAGGGUGCAAGCGUUAUCCGGAUUCACUGGGUUUAAAGGGUGCGUAGGUGGGCAGGUAAGUCCGUGGUGAAAUCCCUGAGCUUAACUCAGAAACUGCCAUGGAUACUAUUUGUCUUGAAUGUUGUGGAGGUAAGCGGAAUAUGUCAUGUAGCGGUGAAAUGCUUAGAUAUGACAUAGAACACCAAUUGCGAAGGCAGCUUACUACACAAAUAUUGACGCUGAGGCACGAAAGCGUGGGGAUCAAACAGG
rnacentral:rRNA from 1 species